AAGAGGGCAGCGAGCCGCCAAGGCCCUAACACCCACGGACGCGCUCAGAAGCUGGCCAGGAGUGGCUGACAGUGAGGCUGAGGGUAAAAGGUGUUGAGCUCCUUCCUGUCCUGCUCCCGAGCCUGGAAGGGGAAGGACUUGUGAGGAGCGAUAUCUUUUGCAAACACGAGACUCAGUUUCCUCAGCCCUACACACACUGGGGUAACUCCAAGCCCACAUCCACCCAGUUUUCUGCGAGCCUCAGACUGAGGCACAAGACCACCUUUACUGGUUUUCAGGUAUCUCCCACGAAUAGAGAAGCCCUACAGAUUCCCAGUGUUUGCCUGCGUGUAUGUAUGUGUACCACAGGUGCACCUGCUGUCCCAGGAGGCCAGAAGAGGGCAUCAGAUUCUCUGAAACCGGAGUUACAGGCAGCCAAUGUCAAGAGGCAGUGGGAAUGGAGCCUUGCUGGAGGCCUGUGGAGAUUCCUGGAGCUGUCCAUGGUACCCGAAAGAGGCCUUCACUGCCCAGCCACUCUCUCUCCUUCUACACCCCUAAAUCCUGUCCCUCCUGGUGUCCCCCUCACUCAUUCAUGUUUGAAAAUUGCCAAGGCUUAACAGACCCCCCUUUCUUAAGGCCAACCCUACAGUCUUGCGGCUUUUACAUUAAGGUAUUGACUGUUCCUCUUGGCUGUCACCACUGCUCCAGUCAGCCUCUGCCUGAGCUGUAGCCGCACCUCCUCAUGGCUGUCCCUGCCUCUUGUCUGUUAUACUCCCAUCCAUUCACGCUGCAGCCAGACCUGCUCCCUUCUUCCUUAGAAACCUACUGUGGUUUUCCAACAUCUCUAGAUAAAUUUCAAGCAUGCCAAUUGUCUGGAGACUCUUUCCGAUCCCCAUUUCUGGAAUCACAGCCUCUCUCUUGGCUUCUGUUCCCUCUGCCUGAUAACCCUUCCUUUGUGUCUCUGCCAGGAGAGCUCGCUCAUCCCGGGUGCUGUCUUUUUGAGCAGCUUUUCUCAGUGCCCUCAGGCAGAAGUAGUUGCUCUCUGCUGUACUGAUGGCAUUCAUGAUAACCUCCUCCACAGUCUGACUGUCACAUCAUAGAAAAAUCAUCUCAGCCCCCUCCAUCAGUCUAGGCAAAGACAAAUUCAGACUGACUUCUCUCUAGAAGAGGCCAGAACAUAAUGGUCUGCAAAAAGCAGUGUGAAUUCAGUAACAAAUUGUUUACAACUCACCAAAUCUGGAAAGAUCAGCCCACCCAGGGAUAACUGCUCCAGUUGUGCAUCCAUGACCUCUUCUGCCUCAGGGCCUUUGCACAUGCCCUUCCUUCUGCCCAGAACAAUCUCGCUCUAGACUCUGCCCACUUCUUCAGCUUUCAGUGAAGAUGAAACCUCUGCUGAGAUGCCUCCAGUCUCCCACCCAAUCCAAAGCAGCCCUCUCCAGGUGAAAUAACUACAGAAGAGAGAAAAUCAAGAUGAAGCAUGAGGCCACAUGAUUAGGUGCCAAGUGAGGAAAACAAAGUGAAAGAGAACUCCUCAGGAGUUCCAGUUUUGGAGAACUUUAGCGGCUUUAUGGCUCUUCACGUCCCUGAACCCCAAAUCAACUCUGUUUCUGGAGGUUGCUUCAAGGAAUCAGAAGACAAAGCUUUGCAUGGUACAUGAAGCUACCAGCCCUCGCCAGAGAAACCUCUCUUCACAGCCUAUGGAGACCAUCAUAGAAAACCACAACUGGACACAAUGCAGGGCUCAGUGGCUCCUGAGGAGCCCAGCCCCAAUUUGUACAUCUACACCACUCAGAGAACAUCACGGAGGAAGAGAUGGAAAUAUUGCAAGAGCCAGAAUCCCAAGAAGCCUGCUGUUGAAAAGUCUCUCAUAGAAACGACUUCAUAAAGAAGACCAGAGCCCAGAACCUUGGCAGUAUCAGUGGAUACAUUAACAUGGAAGGAGGGACUUUUCUAGGGGUCCCACCCCUACACAGACAACUUGCAACUGGUGGGGGAAGGAGACUUAGCCUCUCCCAGGCAUGAGUUCCCUUAUUGGCUAAUCCCAAAGACUUGAGGAGAAAGACCACUAACCCAAAUUAUGGCCAAAUUAAAGCAAGCUAUAUUUGUGUACGUAAGAUCUGGCUGGUGGCUGACUCUUCCUAAGGCAGAGUUCAAGAAAUCAGCUCUGAGCCAAUUUCUCAGGCUCCUUUUAUAGGGCAAAACCAUAGGGUGGGGAGCAAGCAUGGUUACAGAAGCAAGACCAGGCAGUUAACACUAAACCAAGCAGUUAAGGGAAUCUUCCUAGAACGUUUGUUUCAGAACAUUCUAUGGUUAUGGGGUUGGGGUGCAGCCCAGCUCUGAUGAACAGAAACUCGUUUUACAGUAGACAGGAACUUAACCAAACUAGAGAUUCAAAAUGGUCUCUCAUUUGUCCAAUGCAGAGUGGUCAGCCUUGAAACCAUAUACACACAACAAAAACAGACUCAGUAGGUUGUAUAUACAUACAUACAUAUAUGCAUGUAACAAUAAAAAGGCUAUCAACUUGGGGGAACAUGGGAGGGGCUAAAGGGAGACAAGGGAGGGGCCUUUAUAAUAAAGGCAAUCAGGACAGCUGAAUGGUGAUCAAUCAAGAAUAAGAUAUGUGAGUCCCAGCUGAGUGUCACCACAGUGAGCAGCCUCAGCUACAACACAUGGGUUAGUCCCCGGGAGAGUCCAGUCAGCUCCCCAGAUUGAGAUCAAGGGUAAAUGAUCACUGUUUGAACUGAGUCUGUGUUAGGGCCAGUCAGUAAAUGCCUGGCACUGUGCUUCCCAUUUGGACAAGAUAUGUGUGCAGUUAUAUGAGAAUGCCACAUGAACAGGACCUAGACACAUCCAGCCUUAGACAACAGUGAGAUAUCCUUCAUUUCUGUUUCUGUACCCCAGGUCUGUGCUGGGCACUCCAGACAGAGAUGAGUAAAAAAGGUCCUGGGGACCGAGGACAGUCACAGACACAUCCAUAAGUAAGUUCAGAACUUAAGUGAAAUAGCAGAUACACAAGUUCAGCUGAGCCUCAUGGCCAGGAUGACUUUUGAACAUGCCUUCAAAGUGUGAAUCACUCACUGAGCAGAUGGGAUUGGGGUUGGCGACCAUAGGCAUGUGCCAAACAAAAGUGUGAAUCAUCCAUCAGCCUGGCAAAGUUGGCUGCCUACAAGAUCUAUGAUAUGGCUAGAAGAUUUAUAUAUAGCAGUGUGUGGAGAGAGGGGUAGGGGUGGGCUAUUCGAGUUUUUGCAAGCCAGGAGAGCAUGAAUGCCAUCUCUGAGCUUGACAGGGCCCCACAGGCUCAGAAAGGGCUAAGAUGUUCCUGUUACUCCAGCUACUCAGUAGAGGGUAGGUCGCAGGGACUGCGUCCACAGGCAGCUGCAAGCUAGAAGUAGCCAACCAUCCCACCAGACACCUAUAUUCCAGGCACUGUUUUGGGUGUUGGGCACAGUUGGGGAGAGAGAGGAUAGAGAGAAUAGGGUAACCUAGGAAGUCUGAGGUAGAAUCAACCAUUUCACCCAACUGAGGGAUGGCUGGAGGUAUUUUCCAGAAUGGAACCAGAGGGAUAUGCGUUUGGAGAGCAGUGGUGAGUUGACUGUGAACAGUGGCAGACAUGUUGCUUUUGAGAUGCUUGGAAACCAUUGAGACCCCUCCCAACCUGUAUCUCCAUCUAUGGCGUGGGUCAGUAAGCCUGGCCAUUGGGAUCCCUGCUCUGAAUGUCCCAUCCCAGGAAAAACUCUCACCUUUAUGGACCUGGCAGCCGAAGACUGAUGCUGUCCUGGUACAUUUGCUCCAAGGUUAUGGAGACUACAGCAGCCUGGCAUGGCUGUCUAGGUUUCCACUUGGCUGACAGGCACAUCCAAGCAUCAGUGGAUAACUACAACCUGCUCCAAAUGAUUAUGAGCCCUGGACUUGCUGAAAGAUGAUGUGGACCAGUCCACCCAACGUGAUUGCUUCCUGUCUCUACAGCUUGGUUGUGGGAGUCUGCUGGAGUCCAGCUCCAACCUGUUAAAGGGUUCUUGCAGGGAGGAGAGAGGAAUGAGGAAAUGAUAGAAAGAUAGAGACAAUAAGAAAGACAGAGACACAGGAUAGCUUUGGGAGGCUCCCUGGGUCAAUAUCCAGUUGCCUCGAGAUUUAGUCCAAAGGGCUCUUUAUGCAAUGCCAAGGGGCAAGGCAAAAGUCCUCCCCCAUCAAGAUAAAAGCACAAAUGUAGACCCUUCCAAACACUGGGUAACCAUGCCCCUGGCCAAAUCAUCCCAUUAUGCAGCCCUGUGGGGUAAAGCAAGUCCAGAUUCUCUGAUCCUGAGUAAUUUGGGCCCCCACACUGGGUCAGAUAACCACAUGUUUCUGAUGAAUGCCCCAUUGCCCAGCCUUUGACUAGCCUUUCUGCCUUCCUGGGCCCUGACAAAAAACCUCAGUUUCAACUGUAAGUAGUUACAGAAGAGAAUACAUCAUCCUUUGCCCCCUUCCCUUAAAGGCUGAAAUGCUAAAUCAAAAGGAAACUCCCUGACAUAGGGAACUAAAUGACUACUUAUAAGGCCCAUUGACAUACCAGGAAAAUGGGCUCAAAUAGUCAAUUGGUAGAUUCAUCAAGGCACUUGGCCUUCUUUAUACAGAACCAAAGAGGUAUUAUAAGGCUUUAAGAAAAAAAUAUUAUUUCUAUAUAAAUCAUUCAGGAUUAUAAUCUGUACUGAAAAAAAAAUAAAAACAGGACCUGAGAUAAAAUAAUAACUGGUCCCCAUUCUCAUUUCCAGGUUCCUUCUAGAUAGGAACUCUGUCAACCAUCACAGGGCCUUUGGCCCUUCUGCUUCUGCUAAUUGCUGUUGACUCUUAUGUCAAUGAUGCCUUAACUAAAUGAUAACUCCUGUCUGAGUACCACUAAGCUGCUGAUGCUAAAAUCCCAAAAUCAGCCCCUUGACCCAUCUCAAGGAUUCGGAAUGGAGCCAAGCUCAAGGGGGGAAUGAAGGGGUUAAACUCUCCCACUCUCAUAACUGAAUUUAGGUUUCAGUUCUCUGAGAAGGGUAAACCAAGUGUCUCUCUCAACAAAGGGUCAUUUAUCCACAACACCCUCACAUUCGGGGACAAGGGAGACAGCAAACAUAGAGGCCUAAGUCAGUCUUACAGUUUCUCAAGGACAAAUUUUGCAGCCCCUUCUGAGUCACAUCUGGACUUGUCCAAGCUUGUGCAAGUGUGUCCAAAAAUAAGACUAAACCUCAGCCAAUUAAAAAUAUACUAAUAUAACUGCUGCUUGCUUAACAAAUCGCGUAUGAGAUGACCUAAUUGUCCCUGAAACUCCCCUUAGCUGUGCUGAAAAGGAGCCUGCACACUCCUCUUGGGGCCAUCACCAUCUUGUACAGGCGAAUGACCCCACAUAUGCUGGAAUAUUAAUAAAUGUUCUUUGCUUUUACAUA